UACGGGGGGGGCAAGCGUUGUUCGGAAUUACUGGGCGUAAAGGGCUCGUAGGCGGCCGACUAAGUCAGACGUGAAAUCCCUCGGCUUAACCGGGGAACUGCGUCUGAUACUGGACGGCUUGAGUUCGGGAGAGGGAUGUGGAAUUCCAGGUGUAGCGGUGAAAUGCGUAGAUAUCUGGAGGAACACCGGUGGCGAAGGCGGCAUCCUGGACCGACACUGACGCUGAGGAGCGAAAGCCAGGGGAGCAAACGGG
rnacentral:rRNA from 1 species